rnacentral:rRNA from 1 species
AUUGAACGCUGGCGGCAUGCCUUACACAUGCAAGUCGAACGGCAGCACGGGGCAACCUGGUGGCGAGUGGCGAACGGGUGAGUAAUGCAUCGGAACGUACCCGGAAGUGGGGGAUAACGUAGCGAAAGUUACGCUAAUACCGCAUAUUCUGUGAGCAGGAAAGAGGGGGAUCUUCGGACCUCUUGCUUUCGGAGCGGCCGAUGUCAGAUUAGCUAGUUGGUAAGGUAAAGGCUCACCAAGGCGACGAUCUGUAGCGGGUCUGAGAGGAUGAUCCGCCAGACGGGGACUGAGACACGGCCCAGACUCCGACGGGAGGCAGCAGUGGGGAAUUUUGGACAAUGGGCGCAAGCCUGAUCCAGCCAUGCCGCGUGAGUGAAGAAGGCCUUCGGGUUGUAAAGCUCUUUCGGCCGGGAAGAAAUCGCGUGAGUUAAUACCUUGCGUGGAUGACGGUACCGGAAUAAGAAGCACCGGCUAACUACGUGCCAGCCGCCGCGGUAA